rnacentral:lncRNA from 1 species
GAUUUUUCAUUGUAGUGAAUGAGCCAAGCACCAAGGAGCUCUCUUGAAACCAACGUUACAUGCUCCUAUGGGUCUCAGUGAGAAUGUACCUUCACAAUGCAGGAAAAAAAAAAGUGCCAUAUACCAUAUCCUUUCCUCUCAAUCUUUCAGGGACACAAAAGCUAUUAACAAGUGCUCUGGAGGAAAGCACCACUACUGAACUGGGACUACUGGAAAUUACACUGUAUGAAGUCAGACUCGCGCCCUACAAUAAUACUGGGUCAGGGGUUCAGCUUCAUGGGCAAGAUCGUGCCAUGUGCUUGGAAAUGCUUUCAGAAUGUCAAACAGAGAUUUCUUCUGACCUAAAGCACGUGUGCUAUGACUGAAAUAACUAAAUUGGUAAGUAUUACUUUAU